rnacentral:misc_RNA from 1 species
GAUGAAGAACGUAGUGAAAUGCGAUAAGUAAUGUGAAUUGCAGAAUUCAGUGAAUCAUCGAAUCUUUGAACGCACCUUGCGCUCUUUGGUAUUCCGAAGAGCAUGCCUGUUUGAGUGUCAUGAAAAUAUCAACCUUGACUUGGGUUUUGUGCUCUAGUCUCGGCUUGGAAUUGGGUGCUUGCCGCUUUUACGAGCGGCUCACCUUAAAUGUAUUAGCUGGAUCUGUCUUUGAGACUUGGUUUGACUUGGCGUAAUAAGUAUUUCGCUAAGGACAUUCUUCGGAGUGGCCUCGUUUCUAGGACGCUUGUCCGCUUUCCAAUACAAGUGCCACCUCGUGGAUAUGACUUUUUAUUAUCUGGCCUCAAAUCAGGUAGGACUACCCGCUGAACUUAAGCAUAUCAAUAAGCGGAGGA